rnacentral:rRNA from 1 species
AUACGGAGGAUGCGAGCGUUAUCCGGAUUUAUUGGGUUUAAAGGGUGCGUAGGCUGUGCGUUAAGUCAGGGGUGAAAUGCCGUCGCUCAACGACGGAGCUGCCCUUGAUACUGGCGUGCUGGAGUACGGAUGCCGUUGGAGGAAUGAGUGGUGUAGCGGUGAAAUGCUUAGAUAUCACUCAGAACACCGAUUGCGAGGGCAUCUGACGAAUCCGUCACUGACGCUGAGGCACGAAAGCGUGGGGAUAGAACAGGAUUAGAUACCCUGGUAUUCCACGCCGUAAACGAUGAUGACUAACCGUCGGCGAUAGACAGCCGGUGGCCAAGCGAAAGCGAUAAGUCAUCCACCUGGGGAGUACGUCGGCAACGAUGAAACUCAAAUGAAUUGACGGGG